AUGUCUCUCAGAGAUCUAUCUGCCUACCAUGAUUUGAGUGCUGAACUAUUAUCCGGGUUCCUUGCAGAAAAAAUCAAUGAUAUGAUUGUUCAUGUUAAAUGGUCUUGCCUUUCUUCUUCUUAUUUCACUGUACAUCCUGAUCUAACACUAUCUGGAUAUAAUAUGUGCUUGUUGCUUGACUGGCACUUUACUUUUCUAUGCGGAAGAAAUUGUUUUGAUUUUGAUAUGUUCCUGAUGCUUGUGGUUGAUUUUGAUUAUGUACGCCUACAAGGAGAAACUGUGGUACACCACUUCAACACGGCACAAGAGGCAGAUCAGGGCAUCUUCAAGGAUAAGGAAACAUCUGCAGACCUGAAGGUGGUUGGGAACUUGGGAUGUCCUUGCUAUUGGAGUGGAAGGAUCUCAGUGUUGUACGGGUUAUGGUGGGAUAGGAGGGAUCCUGCACACCGGGUUGAGGUGAACGCUUAUGAAGACACACUUGAUGAGGAGUAUGAUGAAGACUUUGAAGACCAGUCAGCUGAAACUCCAGUGAAUUCAGUACAGGAGGAGCCUGUCCUAGCUCGGAACCGGAACGCGCCCUGCGUCUGCAAUUCUGCAUCUGCUUAUCUGAACCGAAGUUGUGAUGCUGCCCUAUAUUUAUUUGAAAAUAAAAUCUAUUCCGCCGGCCGGCUCGCGAGCCUCCGCCUCCGUGAUCUCCCUCCACCUUGUCUAUCUAUGCUCCUGCACGCGAGCCGCAUCAGCGACCAUGCCCAGGCACGGGGGCGCGAGCAGCAGCGGCGGCAUCGACCAGGCACGGGGGCGCGAGCAGCCACGCAAGGGCACGAGCAAGUGCAGCGGCCACGGCUACGCACGGGGGCGCGAGCAGCAGCAGCAGCAGCCACGCACGGGGGCACGAGCUGCAGCACCGGCCGCGCCCAUGCGCGCGAGCAGCAGCACCGGCCUCGGGACGGGCCGCGAGCAGCAGCACCGGCCGCGCCCGGGCACGCGACCAUCAGCACCGGCCACGCCCGGGCACGCGACCAUCAGCACCGGCCACGCGACGGGCCGCGAGCAGCAGCACUAGCCGUGCCCGGGCACGCGACCAUCAGCAGCGGCCACGCAAGGCGGCUCGAGCUACCGCCUGCUACAGAGUACGGGCACGCCGCAGCGAUGGCAGGAACGCGAACUCUGCCCAGCGUCCCGACUACCCCGUGGGCGCCCUGGUCCGGCGCCGAGAUCCCUCAUGAGGGCCAUCUCCUUCCCCCCUAUUUCGCCGUUGCCCGCGACCUCCCGAGCACCAUGGCCGAGAGCACGAGCUCUUGGUCCGCCCCGCGCCCCGACUACCCCAUGAUCGCCUGGUCCGGCGCCGCCUCUCUGCCUGCGGCCGCGCUACCUCGCACUCAAGUCACUCGCAGCCCAUUCCUACACUGCCACUGGCGAGCUAGGCAGCCGACGGGAUGCCCUCUAGGCUUUGUUUCCAUAACUGCUGUAUCAAAUGUGCAAAUGGCACCAACAUCAUACAGUGGGCCAUGCCUGAUAGCUAUUGCUGUCAUUUCCCCUCCUGAAAUCAUCCUUUUCCUAUAUGUAGGAGGUUCAGCAAAGGAGAUGAAGCGCACGCGCAGUGCCAACGCCGCCGCCGCCGCCGCCGGAUUUUCUCUCGAGUCAGGGGAGGUGUUUGGGGGAUCGACUAGGAAGGAUCGAACGGCAGCUGGAGAAGACCUGCACAAGGGUGCCACCAGUCAUUAUGUUCUAGACCAAAUAGAUCGUAAUGCGAUCGAGUUGGAGAGGUUCAAGCCCUCCGUCACCGGCCGUGUGCACAUCUGGAAGGUCAAUAAUAAUUCUCCGACUCUUAACUUCCCAGCCGCCAAGUUGCUCUUGCACCACAUGCUCUUGCCGCAAAUUCCUAGGAUCUGUGAACAAGAUGGUCAGGGCCGGAUGCAAAGUGAAGAUCCUAAUAGUGGACUAGAGGCCUGGGCUGAAGGACUCCGCAAGAUCAAGGAGCGGCUGGACCACGACAAGGACGUCGGCGGUGGCUUCUCCGCCAUGUGGGAUUAUUGUUUGACCUUUCACAGUUACUUCAGAGAGCUGUCCAUGACAUGUAUGGGAGCAAGGGAACCGGAGUCAACAUCAGAUAGUAAGGUGGACUAUCAAUGUUUUAAAUUAGAUGGGCAUAUUUAUCUGAUGGAGAUCAAUGACAUCAAGGACACACAGGCAGCUGCGAAGCAUCUCAUGGAUCAGCCGGUGAACAGAAGGAGCAAAGACGGCAUUUCCUGCAUCGUCAUUGCAAAAAAACAAUUGAAAUGGGGACUGCCAACCUGGCACCGCCCCAACUUUUUCUCGGGAGGCGCCACAAGGUGGCGCCCCAACCCCUAG
rnacentral:rRNA from 1 species